AGCAGCCGCGGUAAUUCCAGCUCCAAUAGCGUAUAUUAAAGUUGUUGCAGUUAAAAAGCUCGUAGUUGAAUUUCGAGACCGGUUUAUUGGUCGUGCUUUUGCACGUACUGGUAUUAUUGGUUUCUCCUUUCUGACGAAUCUUAAUGCCAUUAAUUUGGUGUUUUGGGGAAUCAGGACUGUUACUUUGAAAAAAUUAGAGUGUUUAAAGCAGGCUCACGCUUGAAUACAUUAGCAUGGAAUAACGGAAUAGGACGUUUGAUUCUAUUUUGUUGGUUUCUAGGAUCGACGUAAUGAUUAAUAGGGAUAGUUGGGGGCAUUAGUAUUCAAUUGUCAGAGGUGAAAUUCUUGGAUUUAUUGAAGACUAACUACUGCGAAAGCAUUUGCCAAGGAUGUUUUCAUUAAUCAAGAACGAAAGUUAGGGGAUCGAAGACGAUCAGAUACCGUCGUAGUCUUAACCAUAAACUAUGCCGACUAGGGAUCGGAUGAUGUUAAUUUUUUAAUGACUCAUUCGGCGCCUUAC
rnacentral:rRNA from 1 species